rnacentral:lncRNA from 1 species
AUGGCCACCCGCCUGGAAGGGACCAUUUGCUUCCCCGGGAAGGGGUGCGAGUCCGGCGUCCCGGCCGGGCCGGUGGGGGGCGGCGUGCGGGCCCGGCCGGGGGGGGCGCGCGGGCCGGGGGGCUCCCCUCCGCGAGGGCGGCCGCGGGCCCUGCACGACCCUGCACGACCCGCCGGGGCCCCGCAGCCUGUCGUCCGGCCCUCCCCGCUCGACCGCGUGCUGCAGCCCGAGCCAGCUUCUGCGCGCGGAGCUCCCCCCGGGUCCCGCCGAGCGCUUCCCGCGGCGGACGGGCCGGGAGGCUGCGGCGCGGGGCCCGGGGCGCAUCCGAGCCCGGGGCCAGCGCGCCUCGCCCGGCGGGGCCGGCCUGGGAGGGCCGCGGGCGGCCGAGCUGGGGCUGGGGCUGGGGCUGGGGCUGGGGCUGGGCAGAGCCGCCCGGGGCAGGGGCGGCCUCUCCGCGACUCUCCUCUCCCCCCGGGGAGACCGCGGGGCAGGCAGCUGCAGGAGGCUGUGGCCGCCGCGCGCGUCCGGGGGGACCACGGGGCAAGGGAGGCGGCCUGGUGGCUGCGGACGGAGGGGGCCGCCCUGGAGCGCGGGCCCAGGCCCCCGGGAACGAGCUGGGCGCUCACACGUGCGGCUCGGCCGGCCUCAACCGACCGCUGGGUCGGGCCCCACGCCGCGGAGGCCGCGGGCCUGCGGGGUCGGCGGGGCCGGGAGGCUCCCGGGCGGCGGGAGGGGCCUGAGCAGCAGCUGUGGGGGCGUCGCCGCGGGUGCGAGCGCAAGGGCAGAGCCGGGUGCGCGGGGUGCGGGGGGCCCGGGGCGCGCGGAGGCGGGAGAGCCUCGGGGUGGGCCGGGACUCGCCGACCAGAGCGCGGGGAGGGGGCGCGGCGGCCGCGGAGGGCCGUGAUGAUGAGCCCACGCGGCUGCGCCCUCGGCGCGAACCCGGGCCUACCGGGGCCGGUGAAAGACGCAGCGCGCCUUCGGGCCGGGGGCGCCUCCGGGUCUGACCCGAGACCCAGCGCCCAGGUCUCCCCGCCUGGCGCCCGCCCGUCCCCAGGGGGCCGCAGCAGCCCGACGCGCCGCCCUCCGCUCAGGCUCAGCGGGAUCCCCGCGCGGCCCGGCUGCUGCGAGGCGGACGCUGGGUUCCCGGGGCAGGGCUCCGGGGCUUGA